rnacentral:lncRNA from 1 species
AGGAGCCUCAUCCCCACUUCACUUGUCAGUCCUUUUUGUUUUGGUGCAGCAGCAGGUUCUGCAAGCGAGCGCCCUCUGGUUUCCUUGCGCAACCCGCGGUGCCGGGGAGGAAAUUGGGGUGGGUGGGGACGGAAAGGUCACCUGGCGCUGGUGCUUUAGUACUAGGGGCUGUAGCCACAGCCUGUCCCCAGCAGCAGCAGUAGCAGCGUCGGAGUGAGCGCGUACACGUGACUCCGGCUUUGGCUCCUCAGUGCCUCUACAAACAGACGCGCACACACACAUCCCCUCUCUUCUCCAUCCAGUCUCUCCCCCCUCCCUCUCACACACACGCCGUGCGAGCCGCCGCCAGGGCAAAGCUCUAGGCACACGCCGGGGUGGCAGCGCCAGAAGCAGCAGCGAUUCAGCCAAGAAACAAGAGUUUGCAAAGGCUGCUGUGCCUGGCCGAAGAGGCUUUGCACUCGGAGGAUGGCUGGCUGCGGGCUGUCAGAAGAUGCCUUCUUCUCUUCCUUCUUCUACAACUAUACCUCCUCCUGGGAAAACUCCUACAACCAGGCAUUUCUGGCUGUAUUCUACUAGAACACCUACAGUCUGGCUGUGGCAGAGAGCAUGCUGCCGGAGAACUGACGAGACGAUGGAUAAAUGGUGUGAAAUCUCCUUUCCUCAGGUUUUUCUUUUCCUUCUCCCAGGAUUCAGGUCCCUGGUCAACCACUUUUCAGACUUGGGCCCAGAUGCAGACAGCUACUAAUGAAUGUGGCUAACUUGAAACAUGUGAGUAGUCCCAUUGCUUAAAAUUAGGCAUUGUCAUGUUGAACUGAGGCCUUAAAAGAUGAGAACAAUGCAGAAGUGGGUCAUCAGCAAGAAGACUAACCUACACUAAUGGAGUCCUUAGAGAAAAAUGUAUUUGCUGUACGAUCUAGUCAUGCAAAUGGCAGCUGAACAUGACUGAGUGCUAAGAUGUGCCCUGGAAUUUCAGCUUUACACACUUCUUUCUCUUGCUAUAGCUUACUUGGAUAAGUUGUGAAGAGAAACAAAAAGCCACCUACAUUUUGAACUCAUCAGUGUUUCAGAGCUAAGACCUCUAUUACAGGCAUCCAUGGUUCUGAGAUUUGUAUAACAUCUUGGGAUAAAAUGCCUAGAAAAAGUAAUCAUUUUAUCAAUGGUUUAAUCAUUAAAGAGCUGCAAGUUAGGAGGUGAGUAAAUCAGACCAAUAGCGAACACAUUCCUUCUUUCCAGCUGGUUCUGCUUAUUUUGAGUACCCUUGUCGUGAUCUGCCUCUUUCUAGUUGUCAAGCCAAAGCCACAGUAUUUGCUGUGCGUGUACGUUAGAUUUCAGCUACCACACUUUAGGUUUGUAAUUAAGAAAUUAAUUAAAAUAGUAUACAGUUUACUGCACAGUCUCUCAAGAGCAGGCCAGUUUACAAGAUUUUUACACAUUGUGUGCUAUAAAUUGUAUGCUACAGAGGUACAGAAUCAUAUUCACACUGACAUUAAAAGUUCUCCUCCUCCCUCAGAGGAGUAUCACUAAAAAUUAUUGAGAGGGACCAGUUAUGAGGUAAUUGUCUUAGCAGAAAGCCAGGUGAACAAGACUUAGAAUUUUAAAACUCGAAGACUGACAUGGAAUCUGAUAUAAGCAUAGUAAAGAGUAAAGGAGAAGGGAAAAGAAUUUUAAAUUUGUGUAAUGAAUUAAUGUUCUAAAUUGAGUUCAAGUUACCAAGGUUACUAAGUAUCUUUAUCACUGAUCCAAAG